ensembl:lncRNA
CAUGAUUUAGAGACAGAAAUAACACGCCAGCAUAUAAGAUCAAUGACAUAAGACUAAUUCCUUCAAUUGACUUUCAGGCGCGGCUCGGAAAAAUGUGCAUUUUCUGAAGAAAUUUUAAUUUUAACAGCAUUAAAUUGACCCUAUGCCAAACUUAGUCGCUAAUGGCUGGUCUGUAGACUGUUUGGUAAACCUAAAUCAAAUUAUAGUACUAGCUUUUUAUAAGGAUGUGUAUGUCAUGUUACGUAUUUCUUGGUUUUUCUAUGUUAUGUGUUUUAUAGAGAAGUAACAUUAUUCUUUUUUUUCUGUAUGCUUUCAGAACCACAGAUCGCUCCAUCCAUUCCAUGGCUGAAGCAUACAUUUUCAUUUAAUCUGAACAGAUAUCCCAGAAAGAUGAAGCUGAGGAAGAGCUGCAGAGUAACCACCAUGGCACUCUUCAUCUUCAGGGACAACUCAAGCCUCCUACAUCAGCGUCGAGACAUCGGGAUAAUCAUUGAUGGUGUGGAAGUCCUGAAUGAGUUGCCUUCUGUGGCAGCUGGAGUGGCAAUGGUCUUUGGACUCUGUUAUGCUCUUAAAAUGGAAUAUCCACGAGGAUUCAGGUUCACCUUUGAGGCUCUUCAAAAGAUUAUGAUGGAGCUUGACUUUAACAAGAUGACCUCUAAGAUUCGCAAACUUAAUUGUGAACUUAACACUGCACAGUAGUGUGUUUGCAUGCAUGUGUGGAUGUGUAUGUGCACAUGCACAUGCAUGUGCAUGUGUGCUUGGUUAUUUU